GAAUCGAAAUGACUGAUUCAAUUUUUGUUGCUCAAUCAUUAUUGAAUAACAGAAUAAAACUGAGUGGUGGACUGCUACUAGUAAAAAGCUUUUUAUUCUUUUUUGGUUUUGAGGUGAAAAAUUCAAAACACAUGUCUUUUAAUAACUCUUUCACUCGCUUGUCAUCUGAAAGUUGAAACUUUGUCCUACUCGUUUCUUCCUCGACCCUUUCCCAUGGCUUCUUCUCUCCAUAGUAAUCAUACCCAAAUCUGCCCCAAUCCUACCGCCUUGAACGGUGGUUCCGCCUCCGACGGUAAGUCCCAGAUUUCCAAGAAACCCAGAUUGUAUGCUGACCCUCCGCCGUUGUUCACUCCCUCUGAUAUCAUCUCCGAAUUUUCCCACCAUGACCCCGCCGUCGCUCGUAUUAACAACGGCAGCUUCGGGUGUUGCCCUUCUUUAGUUCUCUCGGCUCAGAACCAGCUACAGCUCCAGUGGCUCCGACAGCCGGACAAUUUCUACUUCAACCAGCUCCAGCCUAAGAUCAUCCAGUCCAGAACUAUAAUUAAGGACAUCAUCAACGCCGACCACGUCGACGAGGUCUCUAUCGUCGACAACGCCACAACCGCCGCCGCCAUUGUACUGCAGCAAAUCGCUUGGGGAUUCGCGGAGGGGAAGUUCUGCCGUGGGGAUGCUGCCGUCAUGCUUCACUACGCUUACGGUGCCGUCAAGAAGUCCGUCGAAGCUUACGUCACGCGCGUCGGCGGGUAUGUUAUCGAGGUCCCUUUGCCUUUUCCUGUUAGCUCCGUCGACGAGAUCGUGAAAGAGUUCAGGCAAGCUUUACGGAGAGGGAAAGAAAACGGGAGGAAAGUAAGAUUGGCUGUCAUCGACCACGUCACUUCCAUGCCUACCGUGGUCAUCCCCGUUAAAGAAUUAGUCACCAUUUGUAGGGAAGAAGGCGUUGACCAAGUGUUUGUUGAUGCAGCUCAUGGUAUUGGGUGCGUUGACGUUGAUAUGAAGCAAAUAGGAGCUGACUUUUACGCUAGCAACUUGCACAAGUGGUUCUUUUGCCCACCAUCUGUUGCCUUUUUGUACUGUAAAAAGUCCACAAACAACUCCGAUUUGCACCAUCCGGUCGUUUCCCAUGAAUAUGGCAAUGGUUUAGCCAUAGAAAGUUCUUGGAUAGGGACCAGGGAUUACAGUUCUUACUUAGUGGUUCCAAAGGUUUUGGAAUUCAUCAAUAGGUUUGAAGGUGGGAUUGAAGGGAUCAAGAAGAGGAACCAUGAAUAUGUUGUUGAGAUGGGACAGAUGUUGGUCAAAGCAUGGGGAACUCAUCUUGGUUGUCCUCCAGAGAUGUGUUCAAGCAUGGUCAUGGUUGGUUUACCUGCUUGUUUGGGGAUUUCGAGUGAUCAUGAUGCUCUGGAAUUGAGGUCUUUUUUAAGGGACAAGUUUGGUGUUGAGGUUCCAAUAUAUUAUAGACCACCCAAGGAUGGGGAGGAAGGUGGGGUAGUAACAGGGUAUGCGAGGAUUUCUUAUCAAGUUUAUAACAAGGUUGAGGAUUAUUACAAGUUUAGGGAUGCAAUCAAUCAACUCGUUGACAGUGCAUUCACUUGUGCUUCUCUUCCCAUUUCAUAAGGAUACGGGUAUGAUUAGUCUUUUUCAAGUUUUUUCAUGCAUUUGGAGAGUAAUUGAAGGUCAUAUCUUGUAUUUGUGUGUCCAACACGAGUGUUAGACACCUAUACUUCAACAAAAAUGAAGAGCACGAGCAACAUAGGUCCUGUAGCUACAGGCGUGGGGAGUGUUAAGUGGUGUCAUCUCACAUAUCAGCUGAAAUAGUGGUCUUUCCUCUUUCGUCAGAAUAAGAGCCGGCCAACCAGCUAGCCAGCCAUGGACAUGGGCAUGGUUUAGGUACCAUGCAAAAUGCAUGAAUGUUAUUUCCUUAAUUUAGCAUAAGUAAACGCCUUGCUUGCUUUGUAGCUCUCUUAUCUAAUUCCAACUUGCUUAACUUUUUGUCUAAUGUUGGUUUUGGUUGGAGAGCAUGGUUAUCAUGUACAUGUAUUGUUCAAUGUCUAAUCUUACAAA